UACCCCUGGCAAUGUGCAAAGAGACACGUCUUUGGUGGUGGUGUUCUUAAAUUAGUCAGGGGCAGAGCAGAUGGUAGUCCUUUGUUCAUCCUACCUCUGAUGCUUGGCUCAGUGGCCAAAGCUGUUUCAUGCCUAGGGCACAAUC